rnacentral:piRNA from 1 species
UGGUAAACUCACCUAUUCACUAGGCCA